GCGGCCGUGGCUCAGCAUGGACAGAGCGUGGGUUCUAGACCCAUGGUCGCGGGUUCAAAUCCUGCCGGCCGCGCCA
rnacentral:tRNA from 1 species